AUGUCUCACCGGGAGAAGCCCGCACCGGCAGCGGUAAGGGCGGAUCGUCAAGCCCUAGCGCCGCCGCCUCCGCGUCGCGUCCCGAUGCUGCCGAGCUACUGGGUUCACCUUACCCCCGGCGGCAGCUCUACACCGAACCCGCGGCAAAUGGAGUCAACCACUGAGUCAUCUUGCUCUCUCACUGCUGUUGGUGGCUGGAGCAAAGUAGCAACCGACCGUCGAGUUGAGAACCGCUGUGCUGCCCGCAACCGCAACCAGUUUGAAGGAAUGCGGAAGAAGGCUGUGGUGACCAGUGAGGACCGCAUCAGUGAACUCCCAGAUGUGCUCCUCCACCAUGUGCUCUCCUUGUUGCCGGUGCAUGAGGCCGUGCAGACAUCUGUGCUGGCCCGCCGGUGGCGAUACCUCUGGAAGCACAUACCUGUCCUGCGCCUCCUAGGUCCCAACAAGAAGAGGUUCACCAGCGCCGAGGAUUUCGACAAGUUUGUGAACCAUCUCAUUUCCCUCCGUGGCCAUUUACCUCUUGUCAGCUGCGAGAUCCAAGCCUAUCCAACCAGUGAUGAUUAUGCUGGUGAACCUGAUGAACCCUUGCCAAACAUAUACUUUGAUUCGUGGAUCCAAUAUGCUCUAUUGUGCAAGGUUCAGGUUCUCAAAAUCAUUGGUGAUGAUGUGGGAGCGGAAACUGAGCUCAUCGUGCCUCUCAUCUCCCAGCACCUGAGGAGCCUGGAAGUUCAUCAUGUUCUGGUGGAAAAGGAUUUUGUUGAUUUUUCAAGCUGUCCAAUGUUAGAAGAACUGAAGAUGCAGCACUGUGGCCUUUGGGUGCGCAAGAUGUCGUUUCCAUCGCUAAAGCGUUUGUGGCUUACUGAAUGCAACUUCCCUGAGGCGUAUCGUGUUUGUAUUUCUGCACCCAGUCUUGUUUCACUGCGUCUGCAUGACAGUGGAGGCAAGACUCCUUUGCUUGAAAGCAUGCCAUUGCUUGAUACAGCGUCCCUUGACCUUUCUGGUCGAUGCAAUGAUAAGUGUCGGGGUUGUGGUGGUGAUCCAAGCUGUGAAGGUUGUCAUGGUUAUCCUGCUGGGAGUUAUCAUAGUGUCCUUUUGAAUACUUUGUCCAAUGCUGUAAAUUUGGAGUUGAAAGAUCAACCUGAAGUGUAUAUCUACAAAAGGGAUUUGGAAUGUUGCCCCAUAUUUGGCAGAUUGAAGACUCUUUUACUCGACAUGUGGUGCAGGGCUACUGACCUGCAUGCACUAGUUCGCAUUCUGCAGCACACGCCAGUUCUUGAAAAGCUCACUCUCCAGCUUCGUAGCGACUGGAAUUUGUUAAGUGCAGCCCGAGGUGAAAGAAAACAUGUUCGAAUAGAGCAAUCAUUUUCAUGUGUGCAUCUUCAGGAAGUCAGCAUUGAAUGUGAAGAGAAACUAAGGGUCAAGGAUAAGGUCAACCAAAUUGUGAAGAUCAUGACUAGAAAUGGUGUACUUACUGAGAACAUCAGUUUCAAGAAGAUCCCAAGGCCAGAAGUCUAUCAUCUUGUGUGUGUAUCACCUAGGGCCUUUGAUCCCUACUGGUCCGGUGAAGACUAA
rnacentral:rRNA from 1 species